rnacentral:rRNA from 1 species
CGUCGCAUCCUGGGGCUGGAGUAGGUCCCAAGGGUUGGGCUGUUCGCCCAUUAAAGCGGCACGCGAGCUGGGUUUAGAACGUCGUGAGACAGUUCGGUCUCUAUCCGCCGCGCGCGUAAGAAACUUGAGGAAGGCUGUCCCUAGUACGAGAGGACCGGGACGGACGAACCUCUGGUGUGCCAGUUGUUCCACCAGGAGCACCGCUGGUUGGCUACGUUCGGAAGGGAUAACCGCUGAAAGCAUCUAAGCGGGAAGCCUGUUCCAAGAUGAGGUUUCUCACCCCCUCGAGGGGGUAAGGCCCCCGGCAGACCACCGGGUUGAUAGGCCAGAACUGGAAGUCGGGUAACCGAUGCAGGUGACUGGUACUAAUAGGCCGAGGACUUACCACAA